rnacentral:lncRNA from 1 species
UGAACUCAUCUCAGAAACUGGUGGAAGCCAUGACAAGCGCUUUGUAAUGGAGGUAGAAGUAGAUGGACAGAAAUUCAGAGGUGCAGGUCCAAACAAGAAAGUGGCCAAGGCAAGUGCAGCGCUAGCUGCCCUGGAAAAGCUGUUUUCUGGACCCAAUGCAGCAAAUAAUAAGAAAAAGAAGAUCAUUCCUCAGGCAAAGGGUGUUGUGAAUACGGCAGUAUCUGCAGCAGUCCAGGCAGUUCGAGGCAGAGGAAGAGGAACUCUGACAAGGGGAGCGUUCGUGGGAGCUACAGCAGCUCCUGGAUAUAUAGCUCCAGGUUAUGGAACUCCAUAUGGUUACAGCACAGCUGCCCCUGCAUAUGGUUAAUACUUUUAAGCAGUUUUCAGCACGUUUAUCUCACUUUAUUCUCGUUCUCCUCGGACCUCCGUAGCCAUAUCACUUGUAUAAAAUAGGCUGAGAUAUAGUGACUGUAAGCUGUGAUCUCAGUAUUCAAAGGUAAGCUCUUUUAUUUUCUGAUUAAAGAAAACAGUAACCAAUUAACACAAC